GUCACGUGACAUGGAGCACGGCGGAGAGCCUGAAGCCGUUACAGCCAUAUUAUUAACGGCCAACGUUUUCAGUCUCUCAUAAACUCUGUCUCAUUCUGGGUCGAAGAGGCUGAUCCGCCGGAACUCUCACAAAAAUUGUACUUUAAAGUUGAGCUUCUGCCUAAUUCCACUGAACGCCGAACAUAAACUCCACCAUAUUUUAGCUGGAGUUAUGCAUACGCUGGUGAAGGUUGCAGCGGGUGGAAAUGUGAGAAAGACAAGAAGGCUCAGAUCUACAGUAAAGACACGACCUACGGGACAGUCAGGCAGUCAGGCAGAUACUUUACAGAGAAAACCUUCUACUGUGGAAAUUGUUCCAUGAUGGGACACCUAUCCCGGAGCUGUCCUGACUCAAAGUUGAAACCCUGCUUCAUCUGUGGUGCCCUGGGCCACCUGGGGGAUAAGUGUCCAAAUAAUUACUGCAGCAACUGCUACCAGCCUGGACACACGUCCAAAACCUGCAGCGAAAUACCCUGUGGGAAAAAGCAGUGCCAACGCUGCGGCAUGAAAGGGCACUUUUCUGAUGUAAGUGGUCAUUGUUUCAAAUGCCUUAUCAAUCAGUCACUUUAUUUAUAUAACACUUUUAAUAAACUUGCUAUUGAACAAAAGGUGCUGAACAAAAAAAAAGACACAUAUAAACAUUAGUUAGAAUAUAAAAAGUUGUAAGACACAUUUGAUAAAAGAACCAACAAUAACACUGGUGU